rfam:Biomphalaria glabrata isolate BB02 unplaced genomic scaffold LGTN_random_Scaffold7042, whole genome shotgun sequence.
GGCGCGGUAGCUGAGCGGUAAAGCGCUUGGCUUCCGAACCGGGGGCCCCGGGUUCGAAUCCUGGUUAAGACU